UCCAUAUCAUCUUAGUUCAUUCAAAACAUUGAGCAGUUUAUUAUAACAUCCUUUCUAGUGCAGGAUUACCAGCUAGAGAUAAAAGUUCUUGAUACUGAUAUAUGUAGUACAACUCUGAUAAGAGUUGUUCUAAACCUUCAAGGUUUAAAUGAAGGUGGCUUCCUAAUCUUAGUUGCUUGCUCGAAGCUAUAUGUAAUCUCGAUCAUAUUGUCACUAGUUUUAU
rnacentral:lncRNA from 1 species